UACAGAGGUCCCAAGCGUUGUUCGGAUUCAUUGGGCGUAAAGGGUGCGUAGGCGGCCUGAUAAGUAGGGGGUGAAAUCCUGCGGCUUAACCGCAGGGCUGCCUUCUAAACUGUCAGGCUCGAGCACAGUAGAGGCAGGUGGAAUUCCCGGUGUAGCGGUGGAAUGCGUAGAGAUCGGGAAGAACAUCAGUGGCGAAGGCGGCCUGCUGGGCUGUUGCUGACGCUGAGGCGCGACAGCGUGGGGAGCAAACAGG
rnacentral:rRNA from 1 species